rnacentral:rRNA from 1 species
AUUGAACGCUGGCGGCAGGCCUAACACAUGCAAGUCGAGCGGAUGAAGGGAGCUUGCUCCUGGAUUCAGCGGCGGACGGGUGAGUAAUGCCUAGGAAUCUGCCUGGUAGUGGGGGAUAACGUCCGGAAACGGGCGCUAAUACCGCAUACGUCCUGAGGGAGAAAGUGGGGGAUCUUCGGACCUCACGCUAUCAGAUGAGCCUAGGUCGGAUUAGCUAGUUGGUGGGGUAAAGGCCUACCAAGGCGACGAUCCGUAACUGGUCUGAGAGGAUGAUCAGUCACACUGGAUCUGAGAACCGCUCCAGACUCCUACGGGAGGCAGCAGUGGGGAAUAUUGGACAAUGGGCGAAAGCCUGAUCCAGCCAUGCCGCGUGUGUGAAGAAGGUCUUCGGAUGGUAAAGCACUUUAAGUUGGGAGGAAGGGCAGUAAGUUAAUACCUUGCUGUUUUGACGUUACCAACAGAAUAAGCACCGGCUAACUUCGU